rnacentral:snRNA from 1 species
GGAUGUGAGGGUGGUCUGUCUGUGACAUCUGUCACCCCAUUGAUCACCAGGGUGGAUUUGGCUGAUCUGGCUGGCUAGGUGAGGGUCUCCUGCCUCCCUCACCAUUCCAUAUGCGUCCCUCCUGAAGCUGCCCACUCAUUUGAAGAGGACGACCUUCCCUGAUAGAGGAGGACCAUUCUCUGGUCAAGGUUAUACGAGUAGCUGUGCUCCCCUGCCAGAACCUCCAAACAAGCUCUCAAGGUCCAAAGAGUGGCUGCAAAGGCUCUUGCAUCACUGUUUCCACCGCUUCACCCUGCAGGUAGGUACCAUUC